rnacentral:sRNA from 1 species
CGACCUGCCAGGACCUACAGAUAGAAGUGACAGUCAAAGGCCACGUCGAGUACACGAUGGAAGCAAACGAGGACUAUGAGGACUAUGAGUACGAUGAGCUUCCAGCCAAGGAUGACCCAGAUGCCCCUCUGCAGCCCGUGACACCCCUGCAGCUGUUUGAGGGUCGGAGGAACCGCCGCAGGAGGGAGGCGCCCAAGGUGGUGGAGGAGCAGGAGUCCAGGGUGCACUACACCGUGUGCAUCUGGUGGGCGCCGGGAGCUGCCCUGGGCCAGGGGAGGGAGGGCAGGACCCAGGCUGGGGCUGGGCUUCUGGAGCCCGCGCAGGCAGAACCUGGACGACAGCUCACACGUCUCCACAGGCGGAACGGCAAGGUGGGGCUGUCUGGCAUGGCCAUCGCGGACGUCACCCUCCUGAGUGGAUUCCACGCCCUGCGUGCUGACCUGGAGAAGGUGUGGUCAGCCACCCAGGGCAACCCCCUCUGUCCCAGGUACUGAGCCCUGUCAUGUGCAGGGCCUGUGACCAACUCCCCUUUUCCACAGCUGACCUCCCUCUCUGACCGUUACGUGAGUCACUUUGAGACCGA